rnacentral:rRNA from 1 species
CGUAGGGGGCAAGCGUUGUCCGGAUUUAUUGGGCGUAAAGCGCUCGCAGGUGGUCCGUUGCGUCGUGCGUGAAAGACCCCGGCUCAACUGGGGGGUGUCGUGCGAUACGGGCGGACUGGAGGCCAGUAGGGGGAUGCGGAAUUCCGGGUGUAGUGGUGGAAUGCGUAGAGAUCCGGAGGAACACCAGCGGCGAAGGCGGCAUCCUGGACUGGUCCUGACACUCAGGAGCGAAAGCGUGGGGAGCGAUCCGGGUUAGAUACCCGGGUAGUCCACGCUGUAAACGAUGAGCACUAGGUGUCGGGGGUAUCGACCCCCUCGGUGCCGCAGCUAACGCGAUAAGUGCUCCGCCUGGGGACUACGGCCGCAAGGCUA